GAAUGGAUGGCCCCAGGCAUAUCGGAUCCUCCUUUGGUUUAGUGCCUGAGUGAGGGGUCGCAACUCUUUGCGCUUACAGAGGGUGCUUGGGGCUAGGUCCUAGAAGAACUGGAUCUGAUGCCCGUCAAUUUGUAACGGUGUGUCCCAUGCCGCUCUCAUGAUUGCCUCCUUGACGUGGAAAUAGUUCAUCCGCACUAUGACAUCUCUGGGCAUGGCGGUGUUUAGGGAGGGAGCCUGCAGUGCCCUGUGUGCCCUGUGAGCACUGU